CGCAAUAUGUGAAAGCAUGACGGGGUCAUCCCGAGUGCCAUCUGCUGAAGGUGGCUUUUGCCCAGUGUAAUGAGCUGGGUGAAUAAGGGGAGGGCAAGUCUGGUGUCAGCCGCCGCGGUAAUACCAGCUCCUCGAGUGGUUGGGACGAUUAUUGGGUCUAAAGCGUCCGUAGCCGGCCGAAAAAGUUCUCCGUUAAACCCAACGAUUCAAUCGUUGGACUGCGGGGAAUACUCUUCGGCUUGGGGGCGGGGGAAGUCGGCGGUAGUCCAGGGGUAGGGGCGAAAUCCUAUCAUCCUUGGAGGACCACCAGUGGCGAAGGCGGCCGACCAAAACGCGCCCGACGGUGAGGGACGAAAGCUGGGGGAGCGAACGGGGUUAGAUGCCCCGGUAGUCCCAGCUGUAAACGAUAUGGGCUAGGUGUUGGGACGGGUACGGCCCGUCUCAGUGCCGCAGGGAAGCCGUUAAGCCCACCACCUGGGAAGUACGGCCGCAAGGCUGAAACUUAAAGGAAUUGGCGGGGGAGCACCACAAGGGGUGAAGCUUG
rnacentral:rRNA from 1 species